UCCCACGUAGUCUCUCAUCCUCUCUCUCCCACACCGCACACAAGCACGCGGCCUGCCCCGUUAGCGAUUCCCCUGCCGCCGCCGUGCCGCCGUCUUCCACGGCCGCUCCCGGCCCUCUCCAUCGCCGCCGUUAGUCGAUGCUGGUUUGCGCCACCGUCCGCUGCAAUCUCCACCGUCGCGAUUUGAUCCUCAAGGUCCCUCUCGCUCGCCCACGACCCUGUUGUGAUGUCGCCCGCCUCCCUGGGAACCCUAGCCCCCACUCAACCGCCCGUCUCUGUGCGGCGGGAUCAAUCUCCGACUCCACGGCGCCGCUCACCAUGGAGACGUUAUGUCGCGGCCCUGCCUCCAACCAACCGCCGCGGCUCCGCCACCAAUCCGUGGUGGUCCCCUCACCCGUGAAGCUGCCUAAGUCUGUCUUCACCACCGUCGACCAGCUCAAGCCGGUCACGCAGGGCAACAACCUCGCUGCGCACGUCCUCUCGGCAAGCCCUCUCCCCCAGCCGCUGCACCCUGGUGAGUGCCUUGUCAGGGACCACACAAUCUGCCUUUUAGUUGCGAUUGUUUGUGCCACACAUCCCACAUUACUUUGCUCCAUCAACCCAUCGUGUUGCCAUCUUUUGUGAUAAUGCAUCUGCUCAUUUCCUUGCAAAUCUCACCUACAAACAUGGUCUGAUGCUCUGUCACGAACACAGAAUCCCAAUGAAGCAUUGUACUCUCAACUCCAAUGGCCGGCAAUUUUUGCAACAUACUGUUCUAGUUAAGCCCAGCCACCUGCAGUAGGACUGACAAACAUGAUCACCAAACCUACCUGCUGUAGCUCAAUUUGUUCUUUUGAGAUAGAGAUAAAUUCUCAAUUAGAAGGUUAGUUUUCGCCAGCCUAUAUAUGGAUUAAUCAUUGGGACCAUGUUGGUUGAUAGUUUGUCUUAUUUUUCAUAAUAAAUAAUUUUGAGUGGUUUUCAAUGAUCCAAGGAUCUGUUCUUCAUUUAGGUUUAAUGAUGUUGUCAUACAAAGUUUGAAAUAUCAAAAUGUAAUCAAUGACUGCUUAAACUAGUAGUUGAUACACUUGUCAAUUAUUAUCAUGACGUAGUUUUCAAUUCAAUGUAAUGUUUUUGAUCUGAAGCUUGAUUCCUACAAACUCUUUUGUGUAGUUCUAUGUAGGAAUGGAUAAAUCAGCUGUUGUAUAGCAUGUUAUGAAACCUCCUGUGUUGGUUUAUAUACUGAAUUCAUUGGCCUAAUAUACACGUCCAAAUUUAUAUGGCCAUGUUUUAGUCCUACCUUCAAUGCUCCCAUGCACAGUUUUUUCAACUUUCGAGUUAUCCUAUCCCAAAAGAGUAUGUAUACUUUUAUACACAAUUCACUGUAGGAAUGAAUAAUCUAGCUAUUGUGCAGUCUGAUAUAAUAUCUCCUGCGCUGCGUUACGUACUGAAUUCCGCAGCUUAAUUAACGCGCCUAAUUUAUAUGUCCCUCCUUUACUUUUUCUGUUAAUUAUCACAUGCACACAGGUCUGCCUAACUUUGAGUUAUUCUAAUCCAAAAUAAACUGCGCUGGGGUUUCUCGGUAAGUUUAUUCAACUUUGCGCUGUUCAUAUGACUCUAAAUCCUCUUCCAAAUGAUUGAAAUUUUGUCCUGCUGCUAUCUUACGGUAAGGCAUUAGUGCAAAUAGAUGAAAUGUCUCAUCCUGACUAGUGACAUCUAUAAAGAACAUCUAAAUUUAACAGAAGAUAAAAAUUCGUUAUACAAUGCAUACUCUGGUUUGCCUGUUUAGAUAUUAUUAGGUCAAAUAUCUUUUAAAUAUUCCAAGAAUAGUUAAAUAAAAAUGAGUCUACACUUUGAACUGCAAGAUGGAUAGCCUAAUUAACCUGGGCACCUCAACUUAGGUUAGGCUAGAUAUGAAACACAACAGAAACAAAUCGGUAACCAAAAUGUAAAGGAGAGAAAAACAGGUGAACAAAUUACAAAAGAGUAAAUUAAGAUUCUAGCACAUGGUUCGAUGAUUUCCAUGCGUACUAUGCGACACAGUGAUAUCCAACUAGGGAUUACCACUAUCUUGAUUAGUGGUGUCCAUUAGCAUUAUAUAUGUUCAUGUUUUCUGUAUACGUAUCUAUACCGUGAUUCUGAAUCUGUGGUAGACAUCAUGUAUAGGAUAUGGCUUGAGCGCCCCUAUCUGCUCUGAUCGCUCCCUUAUUGGUGGAUUUGCCAUCUAUAUGUCAAUAGUAUUCUUCCCUAGAGUGAGUUGUAGGUCUUGUAUAAUACAAGUAGUUGAUUGGUUAAUUGCAAUGAUUGUAGUGGCUCAUAUUAUUUGAAGUUGAAUAUCUUUCUGCUACACUGUCCAGUAUUUUCUCUAUAUUGCAUUGCUAUGCUACGAGAUAAAUAAAGCAUAGCUGUGUCUUGCUUGAAAAUUGAUGCUAGAAUUAAUUAAUUCUUAGAGAUUGUUUGAAGUCCUUUUUCUUUUGUUCAGAUAGUCAGAGUAGUCGUUUGCUUUUACUCUUGCAUAAUUUGGAUUUUCAGUAGACAACAUAUGAUUCUUAUUAGUUCUUUUCUAAUUUUAGAAACCUAUAAUAUAAUUAGGCUUGACAUCAGUUUUUGCCUACUAGUGUUUAAAAAAAAUCGCAGAGUUCUUUCUUUUAUAUUUCGCAGAGUUCAUUUUACAAAGCAUCGUUGAAAUACAUUUUUCGCGCCAGCUAAACCUGUUGUGUGGGUUGGCGAUCUUUCUAGUUGUUUGCUUUAAAUGUAAUGGACUGAAACUGUAGAUGAUUCCUCAACUGAAGAAUGUAAAGCCUCAUUCAGCUCGUUUGCUUUGGCAUCUCACUGCUAUAUCUUAAUGCAAAUGUUCUUGAGUUGUAAUCCAGAUGUUCUUGAGUUAUACUAACAAUACUUCAUAUAGCAAAUCAUGGCUGCCCUGACACGAAGGCACGGCCACAAAAGGGAAAUGUAUAGAUUAGUCAAGGUUGGCUGUUAGUGCUCCAAAAUUUGAACAUCACUUUUUGGAUCCUGCUACCCCUCUCCUCUCCAACCUGUGGUACUCCAGAAAGUAAUCUUAUCUUAUUGUUAUUGCUAGCUGAAGAUGUGCAGUUUAAUUCCAGCAGUUCCUAACAUCACCUUUUGGAUCCUGUUAGUACCUUUUCUUCCAAGUUUAGUGCAGAUGUUUUUCCGUACAUGACUACGUGAAACCGAGGUAUAAUUCAUGCAAUCUAGAAAACGUUUGCGUCGUUGUAUUUCAAAGUAUGACUGACAGUGUAGUUUUCAGUUGAAUUACAUAGGAAACAUCAUAAUGAUGUUAGCCUUUUAUUGAUGUUGAACACUAUACCGGGUGUUACCUUUGUUUGCUUUAUCUUAUGGCAAAAUAGUAUUUGUACGACCAUGUUCAUGAAAAGUUAAUACAUUGCUUGAUUCUAUUUAAAGUUCUUCAUUCUCCUGUCUAUUUCAUAUUCAGUGUUUCCUGGUAAUCCUGCAUGAGUAUUGUCACUUUCCAUAUUGACUUUGUAGACUAUGUACGCACAUUUUCGUUGAUGCUGAAUUUGUUACCUAUGUACUGUGCAAUAGCCAGUUCACUUCUUUGGCUUAUAUGUCUUUUGUUUGCUUCCAUACAUGCAGAGUGAUGGAGGCAAUCUUCAAUGUAGAGUGGUGGAGGCACCGUGAGCAGUACCCUCAUAGUCGAGGGUGUCAUGGUUGCCUCCUACAUAUGUCCAGUGAUUGGUUUUCACCGGUGUUUACAUAUUGUUAUUGUUACUACUGUGAACAUUACUAUUGCGUUCAACUUCUUUACAGUUCA